rnacentral:lncRNA from 1 species
CAUGUGACUUUUCAGGCCAUUAUUUUAAAAGAUUUCUGCCUUCCAUCCACCUCGGUGGCUAUGAUCUUUCUGGCACCUCUGACCACCCUCACUCCAACAGCUGAUGUUGCUUCCAGCAGGGAGUUUUGGGGACCCAGCACCUCACAGCAUGCAGCUUGUGGCAGUGUGACAACUCAAGCAAGAUCACUGCUCUAACAGUAUCGUUGGAGAUGUUCCAGGCACCAGCCACAUGCCUGACGCCACCCUCCUUCCCAGAGUGACAGUGUCCCUACACAGACCAGAGCAUUGCUGGCAAAGCCGAACACCAGCUCUGAACUUCCAUUAAGGGAGAACAGUUUUGUUACUGGGCUUUUGGAGACUGACACCAGCUUAAAUCAAGAGGAAGAUGGAGCUGCUGCCUCUCACUGGAGCAGUGACCAGCUGAAGAGUGGAGCAGCUCCAUGCACUGGAGCACUGCUCUGAAGGAGAGGAGCUCCGAGGCCUUGCCAAGUGUCAAACACGGAGAAGUCAUCUCAUGGUGACCAGGCYACACAGCAGUUUCGAUGUAUGGGCUUUCCCACUAAGUCCUUCCUACAGGCAAUCCAAGUGCAGUUGUUCACACACGAAGAGUUGUGCAGAGGACCUUCAGCCUGCCCUUYGUUUAAAGUCUGUCUCACUUGAAGCUCCUGGCUGCAGCCCAGCAAAGAAAGUGUUACCUGCCGGAGGCUGCUGUGCACCGCCCGAGAACAACAGGCUCAUGUACUUCAGGUGUGAAGCCAAGGUGUCAUGUGGGAGCUGCGUUCCUGUGGGGAAGGAGAAAUUGCUGUCUAACUGAUCCUUUGUGGACUUCCUACCAAAACCAUCCAGUGCAACAUAUGAUCUUUUCUCAGUUGCCCCUGCAGCAGCCCUGACGGGCAGGUGUUGCGUUAUCUGCUAGACAGGAGGAGGAGGAGGCCRUAGCCAUCCCUCGCAAGACUGUAUGGGCUGCUGAGCACCAAGGGAACAAGCCCCGGAGCCAGGUAAAUUGGCUGUGUCCCAGUAGUGCUCCUUAUGCC